rnacentral:rRNA from 1 species
CGGGUGAGUAAUGCCUAGGAAUCUGCCUGGUAGUGGGGGACAACGUUUCGAAAGGAACGCUGAUACCGCAUACGUCCUACGGGAGAAAGCAGGGGACCUUCGGGCCUUGCGCUAUCAGAUGAGCCUAGGUCGGAUUAGCUAGUUGGUGAGGUAAUGGCUCACCAAGGCGACGAUCCGUAACUGGUCUGAGAGGAUGAUCAGUCACACUGGAACUGAGACACGGUCCAGGCUCCUACGGGAGGCAGCAGGC